GGUCUGGCUGGCGGGUCCGCCUCACCGCGUGCACUUGUCCGGCCGGGCCUUUCCUUCUGGAGAACCUCAUGCCCUUCACUGGGCGUGUUGGGGAACCAGGACUUUUACUUUGAAAAAAUUAGAGUGUUUAAAACAGGCUUAUGCUUGAAUACUACAGCAUGGAAUAACGGAAUAGGACUU
rnacentral:rRNA from 1 species